CCGAUUGACCAUAAUAAACAAUUAAACAGUUUGGUCCUAAUCUUUUUAACUUCUGAAACGAUUUUGAUGAAAAAUGUUUAUUGUUCCUUUAGUUAAAGGGCAACAUUAGUAAUACACAGGCUUUUCUGCAAUUUCCAAUUGAAUGGGAGAAACCUUAGGUGAGAGAGAGAAAAACUACCGACAUUCUAAACAUAUUGUAAUAUAAUCAUGCCAAAAUAAGAAAAACGAAUAUACAAUUUACUACUCAAGAAGAAUAAAAAAAGCGUAAUUUCACUAAAAACAGGGAUAAAGGGACGCUUAUUCCAGUGUGAGAGCGCUUCAAAAUUGGCGUCUUUUAUAACAUUUUGCAUUGUAGCCAGAUCAGUCAAAAUAAAAAUUGUUGGACAUUUAAACUAAAACACCCAACAUUUAUUAAGAUUAAAAUUAUUAUAUAUAUAUCCGAUUAACACAUGGAGGAACUAUUUAAAUCCUUUUUUGUGAUUUUGUGACAUUUUAAAACAACUGGUUUUUGAACAUUCAAUAGUUGAGAGAGUUGAGCAUUCCUUCAUCUCUGCAACAAAUUUGGCUUUUAGAGAGGUGAGUUCUUCUUUUUAUAAAUAUGUUGUAAAAUUAAUUAUAUUUAUAUUGUAAAAUUAAUUUGUUUUACUUUAUACAUAGAAAAACGCGACACAAAACCGAUCAAUAAGCAUUGCGGAAAAAUUGCAUUCCUAGAAUAAAACCAAUUCAGAGGCGUCCUGAACAGUUUUCCUAACAUUAUUUCAACACGAACGCGAUUGGUUAACAUCUAUGCAAAAGAUGAGCAAUGACCAGAUGACCGAUGUGAAUCGUCGCACCAAUGUAAGUUCCUAUGCUGUAAUAGCUGAAAUGUAGGAUUUUAAACAAAAUCAUGUUACACAAAUGAAACCGGCGCUUAAAUCUUUUAUAGGCGAGUUUUUGGCAAGAAACCUGCGAAGAAAUAAUGUAUGACAUGGUGUAUAAUCGUGAUGAAGGGGCCGAAUCAUAUUGUUUAAAUAGACACACAAUUUAUGGUGGACACACACCACUGAUUUAUAAUUAAUGUUGCUUUAUUUUUAGGAAAAGCUCCGUAUCUCGAUAUAUUUUAUACAAGCAAUAAGUUUUGAUUUAUUCCGUCAUAUAAGAACAGUGUUUUAUAAUAAUUCUUCCGGAUAGAGUGGUGUGUACAUGUAGAGGGAGGCUAAACUCAUUUAACCAGAUAUUUUGUAUGCAUGUAUCUUUAUAAUUGUAGUAUAUAUAAAUAUAUUGUUAAAUGCACUUCUUGAAGUAUACAAUUUAAGUGUUAAUACUUAUAUUUAACCUAUAUACAUAUGUGUAACAUAGUAUAUA